GAUCAUGGCUCAGAUUGAACGCUGGCGGCAUGCCUUACACAUGCAAGUCGAACAGCAGCAUGGAGAGCUUGCUCUCUGAUGGCGAGUGGCGAACGGGUGAGUAAUACAUCGGAACGUGUCCGUUUGUGGGGGACAACCGUCCGAAAGGAUGGCUAAUACCGCAUAAGAACCUGAGGGUGGAAAGACCGGGGACCGGCCGAAGACCGGCCGGCACGACGGAGGCGGCCGGACGUGAUUGUUA
rnacentral:rRNA from 1 species